GAUAACCCAACAACCUCCCCCUCACACAUCGGUCUCUCGGUAGGCAUUACCCAUCUACCGGCUCUAACCGGAUCACCAUCGGUCCUUCGGACCGGAUCCCGGGAGGUGUUGUCAACCUGGGCUCUGAUACCACUGUUGGGUGCUAUUGGGCCUUCUCACCCCAAAAGCUAGCUCAAAGGGUGAGGCUUUCCCUCACACUUAUAAACAGCACACAACCCCUUUCACUCUCCGAUGUGGGAUAACCCAACAACCUCCCCCUCACACAUCGGUCUCUCGGUAGGCAUUACCCAUCUACCGGCUCUGACCGGAUCACCAUCGGUCCUUCGGACCGGAUCCCGGGAGGUGUUGUCAACCUGGGCUCUGAUACCACUGUUGGGUGCUAUUGGGCCUUCUCACCCCAAAAGCUAGCUCAAAGGGUGAGGCUUUCCCUCACACUUAUAAACAGCAC
rnacentral:lncRNA from 1 species